AUUGAACGCUGGCGGCAUGCCUUACACAUGCAAGUCGAACGGCAGCACGGGAGCAAUCCUGGUGGCGAGUGGCGAACGGGUGAGUAAUAUAUCGGAACGUGCCCGGUCGUGGGGAUAACGUAGCGAAAGCUACGCUAAUACCGCAUACGAUCUACGGAUGAAAGCGGGGGAUCGCAAGACCUCGCGCGAUUGGAGCGGCCGAUAUCAGAUUAGGUAGUUGGUGAGGUAAAGGCUCACCAAGCCGACGAUCUGUAGCUGGUCUGAGAGGACGACCAGCCACACUGGGACUGAGACACGGCCCAGACUCCUACGGGAGGCAGCAGUGGGGAAUUUUGGACAAAUGGGGCGCAAGCCUGAUCCAGCAAUGCCGCGUGCAGGAUGAAGG
rnacentral:rRNA from 1 species